GCCACCAGGCCGGCCCCCCGAACAGUUUUAAAGCUCCUACAGUGUGGCCCAGCUGUGCCAUGGGCUGGUGGGAGCGUGUCUGUCCGCUUCUCUCGCUCCCCCUGGAACAGGUGGCCAGGUGGACGCUGUCUUGCAUCUUUGUUUCAAUGUGCGUUUGUCUGAUUAUCAGUCAAGUUGGGCAUCUUCCGGUGCAUGAUGGUGGAAAUCUCUGAAGGGGCCGGAUCAACAGCAGUGCUUUCCCUGCCCUCAGCCCCAAUGAUUCAGAAGUGAGACCAAAGAGGGAUGGAGGGGCUGAAAGAUCGCCUCUCUGCUUAGUGAAGAGGAAGGUGGAGGAAGCGGCUUCACGGGAGAGCCAAACGGACUGUGAACCACAGUAAGAAGUCCGGACAUGCCCUGCUCCACACCCCCGGGUGGCGCAGGCUGGACGGACGGCUGGACAGACAGCAGUGACAGACCCUCCCGGCCGUGGAUGUUGGCUGUCCUGGGAAUCGGCCACCAUCAUCAUCUUCGUCGUAUUUGAGCGAGUUCUCUGUGCUGGGCGUUCUGCCAAGACCUGCGAGCAGAUUAUCUGUCUGUUGAUAACGUCAGCUCCUCGAGAGAGAAAAGACUGCACCUCCUAAAGCGCCAUCUUGAGCGAAAAGAAUGCACACCAUGACGUGCCGAGGUAGACUGAGUAGUUGGCAUGGAUCCCAGCGAAUCAGACCCACUCGGGAUUAUAUUAGUUCCAGUCAUCAG